rnacentral:rRNA from 1 species
UACGUAGGGUGCAAGCGUUUAAUCGGAAUUACUGGGCGUAAAGCGUGCGCAGGCGGCUUUGCAAGACAGAUGUGAAAUCCCCCGGGCUUAACCUGGGAACUGCGUUUGAAACUACAAGGCUAGAGUGUGGCAGAGGGGGGGUGGAAUUCCACGUGUAGCAGUGAAAUGCGUAGAGAUGUGGAGGAACACCGAUGGCGAAGGCAGCCCCCCUGGGUUAACACUGACGCUCAGGCACGAAAGCGUGGGGAGCAAACAGG